UACGUAGGUGGCAAGCGUUAUUCGGAAUUAUUGGGCGUAAAGGGCGCGUAGGCGGCUUGAUGUGUCAAAGGUGAAAUCCCUCGGCUCAACUGAGGAACUGCCUUUGAAACUGUCUGGCUUGAGGCCGGGAGAGGGUAGCGGAAUUCCCAGUGUAGCGGUGAAAUGCGUAGAUACUGGGAGGAACACCGGUGGCGAAGGCGGCUACCUGGACCGGUUCUGACGCUGAUGCGCGAAAGCGUGGGUAGCAAACAGG
rnacentral:rRNA from 1 species